rnacentral:rRNA from 1 species
CAGGACGAACGCUGGCGGCGUGCCUAACACAUGCAAGUCGAGCGAGGAGAUCCUUCGGGAUGAUCCUAGCGGCGGACGGGUGAGUAACACGUGGGCAACCUGCCUCAUAGAGAGGAAUAGCCUUCCGAAAGGGAGAUUAAUACCUCAUAACAUUGCAGUUUCGCAUGGAACAGCAAUUAAAGGAGUAAUCCGCUAUGAGAUGGGCCCGCGGCGCAUUAGCUAGUUGGUGAGGUAACGGCUCACCAAGGCGACGAUGCGUAGCCGACCUGAGAGGGUGAUCGGCCACAUUGGGACUGAGACACGGCCCAGACUCCUACGGGAGGCAGCAGUGGGGAAUAUUGCACAAUGGGGGAAACCCUGAUGCAAGCAACGCCGCGUGAGUGAUGACGGCCUUCGGGUUGUAAAGCUCUGUCUUCAGGGACGAUAAUGACGGUACCUGAGGAGGAAGCCACGGCUAACUACGUGCCAGCAGCCGC